UUGGUUUUUAUGUUUUUUUUUUUUUUUUUUGGAAAUGGAUAUUUAUGUUCUCAAAUAGUUGAAUUAUGUUUAGUGUCUUAAUGGCCAGAUUGGAAAAUUUGAUGGAAUCUAGAGUUUCAGCAACAUCUUAGUAAUUCCUAUUGGUAUGAUGUUAAGCUCGGUUACUAUUGUUAUUGUUUUGUUUUUAAUUGAAACAGAAUAGUUAUUGCUAUAAAAAUGGAUUUCUUUUUAUUUUUUCUUUAUGCUUGAAAUGAUUAACUGGUACCUUGAUUUUUUGGCAGUUGUAUCCUUCCAUAUCAGGUUAGAAAAUGUGAUGGAAUCUAGCUUCUGGCUGUCAAAUGAGCUCCUAUUUUUCUUUGUUAUUUUAUUAUUAUUAUUUAUUGGUGUUUUUAUUCUGUAUUGGAGGUCCCUGAAGUGUGGAAAACAUCUCUACCAUACACAUGGCACUUCUACAUUGUGAUCAGGGCUGUUUACUUGACGGGCCACCACGUGGAUGGACCAUAUACCAGAAAACAAUAAGAUUUAUUUGUUGUAGGUAUUAGGUAACUAAUCUGUAGCCUGCAACUCUGUCUAAGCCUGUGGCCUGAUUUACAAAAACAAGAAAAGACAAGAGCCCCAUAGGCCUUGAACUUAGAUUGACCUCAUUUCAUACUAUUUAACACUAUUUAAGAUUCCAAAAAAGUAUGAAUAUUGAGUUUUUUUUCCAGGCCUAUUUGGAUUAGUACCUUGGAUUUUCCAUUCUAAUUUCUAACUUCGUGAAUCUGGUCUUUUGCUGCAAGUUUCGAGGAAGAAACCAUAACCCUUGAUUAAUCAGCUUUGAGUUUUCAUUUUCUUUUAUGUAGUUGAAUUGAUAUGUUUGUUUUGUAGUAUCAUCAUUGUCUUUAGCCAUUCAAACUUGAGGACACUGACUAUAUCACCAUCAUUUGACUCGUAGAAUACAAAUGAUCAUAUCGCUUGGGACUAGAGAGUGAUGAAGUGCAAGUGCGGUUGAUUGAUAAACAACCCGAUGGCGGUAGUGUAGGUGAUUCGAGUGGGAGCCAUGGUCUUGAAACACAACUCAAGCUUUAUGGUACGGAGGCCAAAAAACUCUUAAGUGGGUUUUUCUUUUUUCUUUUUUCAUUUUUUUUUCCUUUCUUUCUUGAAGGCUCUGAAAUGGCAUUUGUUUGUUUUGUUUCUUUAAAUUUGGCUCUCCGAUGCUAGGAAACGGUAACUUUCAUUUUGUGUUUUUCAAUUCCUAAGGCCUCAACUGCAGAAAUUCAAAGAACAUACCUGUUGGAAGGUAUAUCUUCAAAUUAUCAGUUCAUCUCUUGUAAUUGACAAGAAUUUUGACUUGUGGUUGACUACGGUUGGACUAUUCCAAUUAUUUGAUCAGUUUGAUGCCGCUGGAUAAAUUAAUCUUUUGUGCUGCUUAUUAUUUUUGUAACUUAUUAUCCAGUCGUAAUUUUGGAAUGACAACAAUCUAUAAUUUGUAGCUGAAUUGGGUUUGCUUUGGAAUUUUUCAUUGGAAUUCUACUUUCAUUUGGAAUUUUAAUUUCAUUGUUGUAUUCUUCUUUAAUCUAUUGAUUGGGUUUUCUUCUAUCUUCAUUACUUCAGUUUUCUCAAUCCCUUCUUUGUUUUGGCAGAUUAAACAAAGAAGAAAGGAAGGAAAAGUUUUAAAAAAUAAAAUUAAACAGGGCCAAGAAGCAGCAAUAGCUCUUCAUCGAAGCUGGAAUCCAAAACUAAAGACAAGUGUGCUGUAAUGUAGAGAAAGCAUUUGUAUAUGAUGUAUUUCCCUCCCUUUUUUUGGCCAAUUUGUUGUAUAAUACAUGAAAAGAACAGCACCUAAGCAAUCAUCAUUUAUGUGAAUUUCCAAUCAGCUUUUUUUUUGUUUUUGGUUACGUAAAUAAAAUAAAAA